rnacentral:misc_RNA from 1 species
UUUACACACAUAAUGAGGAACACGUAAGUUAUUUAUCUCCAACUUCCAAGUUUAUAUUCUUGUGCAUUUUAAGUAGACUUUUAUUUUUUCUUAGAUCUUAGGGUUAGAUUUGUUUGAACAUUAGUUAUUGUGGUAUGAUUGACCAAGUUUAUUUGGUCCUAUGGAAUGUAGUUCCUAAUUUUUAUUUAAGCUCUCUUGGUGGAUGUAAUUUCCGUAUGCUAUCUUUUAUUUUUUAAAAAAUUGUACUCAGUUUUAAAAGUUUGAGUAAAAUCAAUCCAAUUCUCUUUGAGCUACGAAGAUUUUGUUUGUUAAUUGUCUUGGGCUUUAAUAUAUGAAGUGGAAGCGUCUAUUAAAAAUGCAAUUGUUAUUUGUUUAUCGAUCUUUGUUAUUUGAUUUCUUAUACUCUAUUUCACAGUUAUUUUAUAUUAUUAUUUGAUUGAAAUUGUCAA